rnacentral:rRNA from 1 species
CACGUAGGAGGCGAGCGUUGUCCGGAAUCAUUGGGCGUAAAGAGCGCGCAGGCGGCUUGGCAAGUCGGGUGUGAAAUCCCGGGGCUCAACCCCGGGACUGCAUUCGAUACUGUCAGGCUAGAGGUAGGUAGGGGAGAUCGGAAUUCCUGGUGUAGCGGUGAAAUGCGCAGAUAUCGGGAGGAACACCAGUAGCGAAGGCGGUUCUCUGGGCAUGUCCUGACGCUGAGGAGCGAAAGUGUGGGGAGCGAACAGG